CUCGGCCAUUAAAACAAAAAAACAGCCGAGGAAUUCCGAAUGCGCUAAAUAAUAGGACUAACAGUGUAUAUCCAUAUAUAAGCUGAAUAAAACAAGGAAAGGCAAUUCUAAACAGAUAUAUUGGACAGAUGGAGGAGCAUAUAAAUUGUACAAUGUGUUCCUGGAGCCGCUGUUUUUGACGAGACAAUGCAACAAUACUGUGGAUAGAUGUGGCAUAAUCUCCCUAUUCAAGCCAGCUUAGAUUUCUACACAAUCUAGGAAUAUAGUUCUAAAUCUAUCACUUCCUAAUAUCACAAUUAAGAUUGUGAAAAUAACUAUGAUGACAUUCUACAAUUGCAGCUAAAUAUUUAUCCACAAUGUUUAUGGGGAAAAAUUGUUGCUGAAUUUGAUAAUAAGGCUGAUCACUUUAGUUACUUGAUAACUUUAGUCACAUUGUUAAAUUACAACCUUUUGAUUUUAGGUGCUGAAAUUGGCCACUUGACUAUUUUAUGUAUUUGUGUAUUUGAUACUUGUAUCAGUUAUUCUGAAAUUGUCAGUUUGCUUAGUCACACCUUUGUAAAGGACUUUGAUGUAUAAAAUGCCUGCCCUUGAACAUAACAAUAUUUAUAUCUCACCAAAACCUUUGCAAUGUUUAUUGGUAUAAUGUUUCUCUAUAGUAAAUGUCCUACAAUGUAAAUUGACCUUGUAAGAUUUCUUUUUGACCAAAUCUAUUUCCAUAUUGUGAUGAAUAUAAAUUAAACUGAUGUCCAAUCUUUAAAUCUUUAAAUAAAACUAUUGCGAAUUGUUAAUUUAUUGUCAGACAGCAUGUCCAAUUGUCUUUAUUAUCAUAUAGAAAAUAGUGAGUUAUUCUUAUUUUUUAUCACAGUUGUGGAAUCAAUUGGGGAUUGGCAUGGUUUACUGAGCAUUAGAAGGGACAUCAUGAUGAAAGAUAUUAGAAGUCUAGUGCAUAGUGCUUGAUGUUAAAAUUUCUUUGAUGAUAUAGUUUAUUAUAUGUGAUUAUUUUUUGUGGAUAAUAUUUGUUACCUUUCUUGAAGUAUGAUUACACCUUAAGUAUGAACGGUCAUUGGCUUAUUGAGUGUUGUUGUGUCCUCAGUGACACUUCACAUUUCAUGAGAAAAUAUAAUAUUUCAGAAAUGUAAACAUGAACAAAUAUAAUAUGUCUUGUACUAUAAUAUGAAUGGUUUAUGUUUUAAUAAAAAAAUAGCUAUGUAAAACCACAACUUGCACUGUAUACUAUUUUGAGCACAAACAAUUCAAAUAUAUUUAUGUACCUAUAAACAAUUAUAACCCUUGACAUAGCACCAUUUAUUUAGUGAUAGGAAAAUCAAGGAGUAUUCCACACUGUGCAUACAUAGGAAUACUAGAUGUACAUGUACAAACAUAACAUGACAGAAAAAUUAACCCUGUACUGAUUUAAGUGAAACUAUUAUUUUAAACCAAUACAUACACUUGUAUAACAAGCAUACUUUUUGAAUGAUAAACCUUUAACUAUUUACUAAAUAAUGCAUUUAUGGAAAACAUUGAUUACUUAUAACAAGAUUGUAACCAUGUAUUUAUUGGCUGAAAACGUGCAAAUAUUAAAUGAUAGAUGAUUUACAGUAAUCAACUAUCUUCUUAAAAUAUUUACAGUAAUCAACUAUCUUCUUAAAAUAGAAAUACCAUGUUUUUGUACCUUUCUUUAAAAUUCAGCAUGGUAUCCUUCAUUAUAUAAAUAAGUAUUGAAUAGACUUGCUCUUUCUGACUUUGUAAUUUGAACUAAAAUUGAACUGAAUUUUUAAAUAAAGAACAAUAAUAACCCGUUUUUCAUACUGAUGUCUGAUUAUCAUUCCCUUGUCCAACUGCUUCACAUUUUGAAUAUCGAUCAAUUUCUUAUUUUUUUACAAUUUAAGACUUUACUUUUUACAGUCUAGACUGCAAAAUAAAUGUCUUGGUCAUACUCAUAGUUUUAAAUUCUCAUUUAUAUAUUUUAAGGUCUGGCUGCAUUUGCCUUCUGUUGGUUCCAUCUCUGUCAUAUUCAUUAUGUGUUUCCAUUUACAUUAA